UUUGAUACAAUAAAACUCUCUUAGAUACAAAAUAAGAACAAGAAGAAGAAUAACACAAGAAAGGCUCAAACAAGUUCUUGGAACUUUGUCCAAAGACUCUAUUUCCUCCCACCUCUAGAAAUCUUUUGGGAACUAAAUGGAAAUAGUCUUGGGAUUGAUCAAGCCUUUUCACUUUUCUGCAUGAGAUUUCAAAAAGAAGAAAAGUCAUAUAUAUAGCACUCUUAGGGUUGAAAAAAGGUUACAAGGAUGAGAAAAAACUCAUUGUCUUCCUCAAUCUCUUCAUCUUUGUAACAUUCAAAAUUAAAUCAUAUGUUUAAUUCACACAUUAAACAUGAUUUAAUCUCAAAUGUGUAACUCUCUUACACUUAACCUCUUAGGUUUAUAAAGUUACAAAGAUGAGAAGACUCAUUGUCUUCCUCAACCUCUUCAUCUUUGUAACAUUCAAAAUUAAAUCAUAUGUUUAAUUCACACAUUAAACAUGAUUUAAUCUCAAAUGUGUAACUCUCUUACACUUAACCUCUUAAGUUUAUAAAGUUACAAAGAUGAGAAGACUCAUUGUCUUCCUCAACCUUUUCAAGUUUUGUAACAUUUCAAAACUUAAUCAUGUGUUUAAUUCACACAUUAAAAGUGUAACCCUUCUUACACUUUAUUUUCCAAAAGUUAUUUUCAAAAGUGUAACUCUUCUUAUACUUUAUUUUUUAACCAACAAUAUAUAUAUAUAUUUAUAUAGAUAUAACA
rnacentral:lncRNA from 1 species